rnacentral:rRNA from 1 species
AAACUUUUCAGCUAGAGUAUGAUAGAGGAAAGCAGAAUUUCUAGUGUAGAGGUGAAAUUCGUAGAUAUUAGAAAGAAUACCAAUUGCGAAGGCAGCUUUCUGGAUCAUUACUGACACUGAGGAACGAAAGCAUGGGUAGCGAAGAGGAUUAGAUACCCUCGUAGUCCAUGCCGUAAACGAUGUGUGUUAGACGUUGGAAAUUUAUUUUCAGUGUCGCAGCGAAAGCGAUAAACACACCGCCUGGGGAGUACGACCGCAAGGUUAAAACUCAAAUGAAUUGACGGGGACCCGCACAAGUAGUGGAGCAUGUGGUUUAAUUCGAAGAUACGCGCAGAACCUUACCAACACUUGACAUGUUCGUCGCGACUCUAAGAGAUUAGAGUUUUCGGUUCGGCCGGACGAAACACAGGUGCUGCAUGGCUGUCGUCAGCUCGUGUCGUGAGAUGUUGGGUUAAGUCCCGCAACGAGCGCAACCCUCACUUUUAGUUGCCAUCAUUAAGUUGGGCACUCUGAAAGAACUGCCAGUGAUAAGCUGGAGGAAGGUGGGGAUGACGUCAAGUCCUCAUGGCCCUUACGUGUUGGGCUACACACGUGCUACAAUGGUAUCUACAACAGGAAGCAAGACUGCGAAGUUAAGCAAAUCCCUAAAAGAUACCUCAGUUCGGAUUGCACUCUGCAACUCGAGUGCAUGAAGCUGGAAUUACUAGUAAUCGUGGAUCAGCGUGCCACGGUGAAUGCGUUCCCGGGUCUUGUACACACCGCCCGUCACACCAUGGGAGUUGGUUCUACCUUAAGGCAAGGUUUAAAACCCUUGACCACGGUAUAGUCAGCGACUGGGGUGAAGUCGUAACAAGGUAACCGU